CCUACGGGAGGCAGCAGUAGGGAAUCUUCCACAAUGGGCGAAAGCCUGAUGGAGCCACGCCGCGUGGGUGAAGAAGGUCUUCGGAUCGUGAAACCCUGUUGUUAGAGAAGAAAGUGCGUGAGAGUAACUGUUCACGUUUCGACGGUAUCUAACAAGAAAGCCACGGCUAACUACGUGCCAGCAGCCGCGGUAAUACGUAGGUGGCAAGCGUUAUCCGGAUUUAUUGGGCGUAAAGGGAACGCAGGCGGUCUGUUAAGUCUGAGGUGAAAGUCUUCGGCUUAACCGGAGUAUUGCAUUUGAAACUGGGAGACUUGAGUGCAUAUGAGGGGAGUGGAACUCCAUGUGUAGCGGUGAAAUGCGUAGAUAUAUGGAAGAACACCAGUGGCGAAGGCAGCUCUCUGGUCUGUAACUGACGCUGAGGUUCGAAAGCGUGGGUAGCAAACAGGAUUAGAUACCCGAGUAGUC
rnacentral:rRNA from 1 species